rfam:Izhakiella sp. D4N98 NODE_20_length_74484_cov_108.675_ID_4140, whole genome shotgun sequence.
AGCAGGGGGAGAAUAAAGCAAAAAAGAAUGAACCGGCGGCGCGGAGUGCGCGGCCGGUGAGU